rnacentral:misc_RNA from 1 species
GAUGAAGAACGCAGUAAAAUGCGAUACUUGGUGUGAAUUGCAGAAUCCCGUGAACCAUCGAGUUUUUGAACGCAAGUUGCGCCCGAAGCCUUUUGGCCGAGGGCACGUCUGCCUGGGCGUCACGCAUCGCGUCGCCCCCCACAAUUCUCCGUAAAGGGAACGUGUGUUUUGGGGGCGGAUAUUGGUCUCCCGUGCUCAUGGCGUGGUUGGUCGAAAUAGGAGUCCUUUCGAUGGACGCACGAACUAGUGGUGGUCGUAAAAACCCUCGUCUUUUGUUUCGUGCUGUUGCUCGCAAGGUAAACUCUUUAAAAACCCCAAUGUGUCGUCUCUUGACGACGCUUCGACCGCGACCCCAGGUCAGGCGGGACUACCCGCUGAGUUUAAGCAUAUCAAUAAGCGGAGGA